rnacentral:rRNA from 1 species
AUUGAACGCUGGCGGCAGGCUUAACACAUGCAAGUCGAGCGAGCGGCGGACGGGUGAGUAAUGUCUGGGAAACUGCCUGAUGGAGGGGGAUCACUACUGGAAACGGUAGCUAAUACCGCAUACCAUCAGAUGUGCCCAGAUGGGAUUAGGUAGUUGGUGGGGUAAUGGCUCACCUGGGCGACGAUCCCUAGCUGGUCUGAGAGGAUGACCAGCCACACUGGGACUGAGACACGGUCCAGACUCCUACGGGAGGCAGCAGUGGGGAAUAUUGCACAAUGGGCGCAAGCCUGAUGCAGCCAUGCCGCGUGUAUGAAGAAGGCCUGCGGGUUGUAAAGUACUUUCAGUGAGGAGGCGUUACUCACAGAAGAAGCACCGGCUAACUCCGUGCCAGCAGCCGCGGUAAUUC